UCCGGAAUUAUUGGGCGUAAAGAGCUCGUAGGCGGUGUGUCGCGUCGGUCGUGAAAACUUGGGGCUUAACCCUGAGCUUGCGGUCGAUACGGGCAUCACUGGAGUUCGGCAGGGGAGACUGGAAUUCCUGGUGUAGCGGUGAAAUGCGCAGAUAUCAGGAGGAACACCGGUGGCGAAGGCGGGUCUCUGGGCCGAUACUGACGCUGAGGAGCGAAAGCGUGGGGAGCAAACAGG
rnacentral:rRNA from 1 species